rfam:Camelus ferus unplaced genomic scaffold scaffold818, whole genome shotgun sequence.
GAAGGUAGAGCACAGUGGUAGAGCACAUGCUUAGCAUGCAUGAGGUCCUGGGUUCAAUCCCCAGUAUCUCCA